UACGGAGGGAGCAAACGUUGUUCGGAUUUACUGGGCGUAAAGGGUGUGUAGGCGGUCUUGCAAGUCAGGGGUGAAAUCUCUCGGCUCAACCGAGAAACUGCCUUUGAGACUGCAGGACUUGAGGGCGUGAGAGGAGACUGGAAUUCCUAGUGUAGCGGUGAAAUGCAUAGAUAUUAGGAGGAACACCAGUGGCGAAGGCGAGUCUCUGGCACGCAUCUGACGCUGAGACACGAAAGCCAGGGGAGCGAACGGG
rnacentral:rRNA from 1 species